GAUGAAGAACGCAGCGAAAUGCGAUAAGUAGUGUGAAUUGCAGAAUUCAGUGAAUCAUCGAAUCUUUGAACGCACAUUGCGCCCCUUGGUAUCCCGAGGGGCAUGCCUGUUCGAGCGUCAUUUCGCCACUCAAGCCUGGCUUGGUGUUGGGCGACGUCCUCUUUGGGGACGCGCCUCGAAACGCUCGGCGGCGUGGCACCGGCUUUAAGCGUAGCAGAAUCUUUCGCUUUGGAAGUCGGGGCCCCGUCUGCCGGAAGACCUGCUCGCAAGGUUGACCUCGGAUCAGGCAGGGAUACCCGCUGAACUUAAGCAUAUCAAUAAGCGGAGGA
rnacentral:misc_RNA from 1 species